AUGGUCGACGAGGAAGUCGGUGACGUCGGGCCGUUGAAGCCGUCCUACAUGCCCACGAACACCCAGCCCCGCUCCUCCUCGCCGGCUUUCCCCAGCACCCACUUCAACCCAUUGGAGUGCCCGCCACACGCGGCAAUGGCCACAGCGGCGUCGGGCGAGCCGAGAUCCGGGUGGCCCCGGAACCGGUCGGUACGGGCGAGCAGCACGGGUGAGAAGUCGCGGAUGCCGCGGCCGCCAUGCGAGAGGCUCCGUCAUAGCACAGGCACAACGCCGCCCCCACCCAUCCGCCCGAGGCGACCGCUCCGGGGAGCGGGCUAG
rnacentral:rRNA from 1 species